AAGGCACGCGGCCCAGUAAACGAGCCGACCGACGGGUAGUUACCCAUCCGAUCCAAGGAACAGUGAUUGUCCAAUCCUACCAUAGGGUCUUAGGCCCCUAGCAGCGGAGGUAGCACCCAUGCGUGCCACCAGCUCACCGGGGAGAGUUGCGUGCUUCCCCGUUGGACACUUGUAGCCCAUGCACCGUGGCACAUGUGGCAUCCCCUUGUGUAUAAAAGGAGGACCGAUGCCGACGGUCAAGGGGGUUAGAGGGUUCGCGGGUCAGACAGUUGGUAGGUUGGCGAGUUGGUCAAUUGGUUCCAGUAGACAGCCAGCAGAGAGUAGUGAGGAGUACUUAGACAUUGAUAGGAAACCUGGGAACUGGCCCGGGCAAAAACUUGCAAACGUUUGAUCCUCAAUCAAUAUCAGUUCAGACAGGCAGGACGUAGGGUUUUACACCUCCGAGUAGCCCGAACCUGGGUAAAAAACGGGUGUGCAUUUGUUCUUACACUAGUGCGCACUCUUAGCACUUUGUCUCACCGGCCCCGUAGGGCCUCAUCGGCCGUGCCGGCGAUGACCGGGUCUCUGCCCUAGACGCCCCCACCGAACCUAAAAGGGGGACGUGGCUGCACGCCCCCGGUGUCGGAGCACCGAGCGACGACAGAAAAACAGAAAAAAAAAAAAGAAGGAAAGAACGAAAAAAAAGAAGAAAACGGCCAGCCC
rnacentral:lncRNA from 1 species